rnacentral:tmRNA from 1 species
GCCCUUUUCACCGCCCUUUCGAUCCCCUAUAUCUCCAGUGCCGGUGCAAGCCGGCUAUGGCGAUAAACGGUCACCGAAAUAAACCUAUCGGACCCGGGGGCGGUACCCGGCGCCUCCACCAAAGACCAUCGGCAACGAUGGACCAUCGACGGCGAUGGUUUUCGGCGGGGGCGAAAUAGGAUCGACGAGGGCGUAAAGGGUGUUCUUUUGCUCGGCAUGGUACCGCCGAUAUCGGACCAAACCUAUAGUUGCGAAUGACAACUAUGCUCCGGUUGCUAUCGCCGCGUAAUGCGGUGCUGGUACCGAAAUCAAAGUCCUUGCGGGUAGCACUGUAAGGCGGGGUCCGGAGGCACCUGGCAACAGAAGCCUCCACU